UACGUAGGUGACAAGCGUUGUCCGGAUUUACUGGGCGUAAAGAGCGCGCAGGCGGUCGAUCAAGUCGAGUGUGAAAGCCCCCGGCUCAACUGGGGAGGGUCAUUCGAAACUGGUCGACUCGAAGGCAGGAGAGGGUAGUGGAAUUCCGGGUGUAGUGGUGAAAUGCGUAGAUAUCCGGAGGAACACCAGUGGCGAAGGCGACUUUCUGGCCUGUUCUUGACGCUGAGGCGCGAAAGCUAGGGGAGCAAACGGG
rnacentral:rRNA from 1 species